rnacentral:rRNA from 1 species
AACGAACGCUGGCGGUAUGCUUAAGACAUGCAAGUCGUGCGGUAGGGGCUUCGGCCCUGAGAGCGGCGGACGGGUGAGUAACGCGUGGGAAUCUGCCUGCUAGUGGGGGAUAGCCCGGAGAAAUCCGGAUUAAUACCGCAUACGCCCUAAGGGGAAAGCCGCAAGGCGCUAGUAGAUGAGCUCGCGUAAGAUUAGCUAGUUGGUGAGGUAAAGGCUCACCAAGGCGACGAUCUUUAGCUGGUCUGAGAGGAUGGCCAGCCACAUCGGGACUGAGACACGGCCCGGACUCCUACGGGAGGCAGCAGUCGGGAAUAUUGGACAAUGGGCGCAAGCCUGAUCCAGCAAUACCGCGUGUGUGAAGAAGGCCUGCGGGUUGUAAAGCACUUUCAGUUGGGAAGAUAAUGACGUUACCAACAGAAGAAGCACCGGCUAACUCCGUGCCAGCAGCCGCGGUAAGGCGUAUGUGU